ACAAACUUGGUCAUUUAGAGGAAGUAAAAGUCGUAACAAGGUUUCCGUAGGUGAACCUGCGGAAGGAUCAUUAUUGAAUAAAAUUGGUUAGGCUGUUGCUGGCUCUUAGUACGUGCACGCCUAGUCCAUUUUAGCCACCUGUGCACCUUGUGUAGGCCUGAACAACUCGAAGUAAAACUCGGUUUGAGAAUUGUUGUGCGAAAGCCAGCUUUUCUUGCAUUCAGGCCUACGUCUUUAUUAUACCCCAUAUGAAUGUAUUCGAAUGUUGUAAUUGGCCUCUUGUGCCUUUAAAAUCUAAUACAACUUUCAACAACGGAUCUCUUGGCUCUCGCAUCGAUGAAGAACGCAGC
rnacentral:misc_RNA from 1 species